GUGGGGAAUCUUGCACAAUGGGCGAAAGCCUGAUGCAGCAACGCCGCGUGAGCGAAGAAGGCCUUUGGGUCGUAAAGCUCUGUCGGUAGGGAAGAAGGAAGUGACGGUACCUACCGAGGAAGCCCCGGCUAACUACGUGCCAGCAGCCGCGGUAAUACGUAGGGGGCGAGCGUUAUCCGGAAUUAUUGGGCGUAAAGAGUACGUAGGCGGUUUUUUAAGCGAGGGGUAUAAGGCAGCGGCUUAACUGCUGUUGGCCCCUCGAACUGGAGGACUUGAGUGUCGGAGAGGAAAGCGGAAUUCCUAGUGUAGCGGUGAAAUGCGUAGAGAUUAGGAGGAACACCAGUGGCGAAGGCGGCUUUCUGGACGACAACUGACGCUGAGGUACGAAAGCGUGGGGAGCAAACAGGA
rnacentral:rRNA from 1 species